GAUGAACGCUGGCGGUAUGCUUAACACAUGCAAGUCGAACGGUCACUUCGGUGAUAGUGGCGGACGGGUGAGUAACGCGUGAGAAUCUGUCUUUAGGUCGGGGACAACAGUUAGAAAUGACUGCUAAUACCGGAUGUGCCUAUGGGUGAAAGAUUAAUUGCCUAGAGAUGAGCUCGCGUCAGAUUAGCUAGUAGGUGGUGUAAGAGACUACCUAGGCGACGAUCUGUAGCUGGUCUGAGAGGACGAUCAGCCACACUGGAACUGAGACACGGUCCAGACUCCUACGGGAGGCAGCAGUGGGGAAUUUUCCGCAAUGGGCGAAAGCCUGACGGAGCAAUACCGCGUGAGGGACGAAGGCUUUUGGGUCGUAAACCUCUUUUCUCAAGGAAGAUUAAGACGGUACUUGAGGAAUAAGCAUCGGCUAACUCCGUGCCAGCAGCCGCGGUAAU
rnacentral:rRNA from 1 species